UACGGAGGAUGCAAGCGUUAUCCGGAAUUAUUGGGCGUAAAGCGUCCGCAGGUGGCUGUGUAAGUCUGCUGUCAAAGAGCGAAGCUCAACUUCGUAAAGGCAGUGGAAACUACACGGCUAGAGUGCGUUCGGGGCAGAGGGAAUUCCUGGUGUAGCGGUGAGAUGCGCAGAUAUCAGGAAGAACACCUAUGGCGAAGGCAGCACUCUGGGACGGUACUGACGCUGAGACGCGAAAGCGAGGGGAGCAAACAGG
rnacentral:rRNA from 1 species